rfam:Medicago truncatula strain A17 chromosome 6, whole genome shotgun sequence.
AAACCAUGAUGGGGACAAAGUUUAAGCAUUUAUUUGAAACGCUCCUACGCAUCGUAGAGAGAUUCCCCCUCUCUCUGAGUGAACCGUGUGAUUUGAUCCCUCAAUUA